UACAGAGGGUGCGAGCGUUGUCCGGAAUCACUGGGCGUAAAGGGCGCGUAGGUGGCGUCGCAAGUCGAUGGUGAAAGCUCGGCGCUCAACGCCGAGUCGGCCCUUGAUACUGCGAGGCUGGAGCACUGUAGAGGCUAAUGGAAUUCCGGGUGUAGCGGUGAAAUGCUUAGAUAUGACAUAGAACACCAAUUGCGAAGGCAGCUUACUACACAGUGAUUGACACUGAGGCACGAAAGCGUGGGGAUCAAACAGG
rnacentral:rRNA from 1 species